AUAUAUCAAACGUUGGCUGCAUUAGGGAAACAUGCAAACAAUAGUAAAGUACACAAGCUGGCCGAUGUCGUCUAUUUGGCAGUCAGUGCCGGUCUGGUUAAAAUUAAAAACGGGACGAACCAAGGCAGUACUUUAGGGAUGGCAAAUAUGGCCAGAGCCUGCAUGUUUGGCAAAGUUGCCAUAGGAUUCGACCGUCCUGCCACAUUCUCCGGUGUGCAGACAACGGCUCACGAAAUCGCUCAUCUGCUGAAUGCCGAUCACGAUGGAUACAGAACAGCGAAGGAUUGCUCAGGCAAGAAUGGUUAUAUAAUGAGCAGCCCCCGAAAACAUGGGAAGAACAGUUGUGCGUUUUCGAGCUGCAGUAAGAAGGACAUCGCCUCCUUUUUAACGUGGCCAUACUCAAGAUGCUUAUUUGAAAAGAAUGCAUGCCACGUCAGUUUACUCCCAAACAAGGCGGCGAAUCUCCCAGGGGACGUAAUGAAUGGACCAACGUACUGUAAGGAGUACUACAGGAGCCCGAGUACUCAAAGUCUACUUACAUAAAGCUUCAUUCGGACAUCAAGAAGUGCGUGUUCCGCUGUUUGGUGGAAGAAAAGAAAAAGCCUGGGCAGCUGCAGAACCGCACAUCAUUUGCAUUAGAUGGCACACCCUGCUCUGAGGCUCAGCAUCCAAAGAUAUGCCGCAACAUGGUCUGCGUCAAACCCUAAUCAAAUAAUUUGACAUUGCUGGAAGCGCAAACCUACAACUGGCAAUAAUACAAGUACACUGGACGGGCAUAUAAGAUGGCUUACACCUGCCACUUCCUUACGGCGAUGUCAA